rnacentral:rRNA from 1 species
ACACGCUACAAUGGCCAAACACGAAUAGGUUGCGAAGCCGCGAGGCGGAGCCAAUCCCAAGCCAAAAACUUCCCUCAGUUCAGAUUGCAGGCUGCAACCCGCCUGCAUGAAGUUGGAGUUGCUAGUAAACGCAGGUCAGCCAUACUGCGUUGAAUACGUUCCCGGGGCCGUU